CCUACGGGAGGCAGCAGUGAGGAAUAUUGGUCAAUGGACGAAAGUCUGAACCAGCCAAGCCGCGUGAAGGAUGAAUGCCCUAUGGGUUGUAAACUUCUUUUAUAAAGGAAUAAAACGAGGCACGUGUGCCUGUUUGCAUGUACUUUAUGAAUAAGGAUCGGCUAACUCCGUGCCAGCAGCCGCGGUAAUACGGAGGAUCCGAGCGUUAUCCGGAUUUAUUGGGUUUAAAGGGAGCGUAGAUGGGUUGUUAAGUCAGUUGUGAAAGUUUGCGGCUCAACCGUAAAAUUGCAAUUGAUACUGGCAGUCUUGAGUACAGUUGAGGUAGGCGGAAUUCGUGGUGUAGCGGUGAAAUGCUUAGAUAUCACGAAGAACCCCGAUUGCGAAGGCAGCUUACUAAACUGUGACUGACACUGAUGCUCGAAAGUGUGGGUAUCAAACAGGAUUAGAUACCCUGGUAGUC
rnacentral:rRNA from 1 species